rnacentral:pre_miRNA from 2 species
AAGUACUUCUUUACUAUCCCAUACUGAACUCAAUUGUAUGGAAUGUAAAGAAGUAUGUAU